UCGUUGUCGGGUUACUCAAGCUGCUCCUUUUAAUACAGCUGUGUAGAGUUGUAGUGAUGUUACUGUUUGCAAACUGGUGAGUCCCAUCAGUGCAUACAGUACGGUAAUUGGGUGCUGUGUUUGUCCGAAACUGGAAUUGCGCCCGAAAAGUGAACUGCGUUUCUUGCUCUGUAGUGUAAAGUAUCUCAUCUGUUCGUAAGCGCGUUUACAGUUUUAUCAAGUUCUGCUUCCGUUUUAUCGUUUACAGUUUUAUCAAGUUCUGCUUCCAUCGUUACAAGAGAGCGCCUUACGCCUUGUAGAGAAAAGCACUUUUUCUUGGUUUACGCGUGCGUGCAGUCCGUUAGUCGAGCUCGCUGACUAAAAAGGGAGUUAAAAUAUUGCGGUUUGAAAUGGCAAAGGAAAUGCCGAACCCGUUUGCAGAUGUGCCAAAUGAAGUUAUUUUGGAGAUCUUUUACAGGCUGGACGCUGUUACCUUAAGAAGAAUACGACGGUAAAAUCGACUCCGCGCACGAUCGCCGCAUUAAUAUGGUUUUCCACUUCAUCAGCGAUUAUACUCGUCCAGUAGUACUUACCUCAUUAUUAAUUAUUGUGGCAGUGUAAUGGCCCUACUUGAUAAAUCGAAAUUUAAACCUAUUUGAUGAAAUGUAAUAUCGACCUCGUGGUCGUGUCUCAUAAUGGAAGCUUAGCCUUAACAAUUACCGGCGUUUAAUUGGUUUUGUUUAGUGUAUGUCGCAACUGGCGCAAACUCAUUGAUGAUCCAUCAUCCCACAUCGAUGAAGUUGCGUUUUUUACCUUGGAACCGGCGCUUCACCAUGGUCUGGACUGCAGCUGGAUGCGGAUCGUGCCGACGAAGCAAGAAUCCGUGCAUGUCAAUCUGCGUGCAUUAGUCCAAAAACGAAGGAGAUCAUUUUCCGACCGGCUGAUUCCGGCGCCGCAUCGACAACGUCUUCCUUUUCAUUUUGGCACCAUUUCAUGGAUGAACUAGCUAUCCACUACGAUAAUCUUCGUUUUGUAGAUUUCCAGAAAAACAGAACGACGGGACACAGGAUGCCAAAAAAUUUAAGAAAGACGAAACACAGUAUUCGGAUGAAAUGCCACCAUUGCGAACCAUGACCUUUAUCAAUCUGAUCAUUCCUAAAAUCGCCCUUUGCUGGAUCUUUGUCGCUCCGUCCACUGUUCGCAACAUCCAUUUGCGUAUGGCGACACUGUACGGCGAAUUCGAGCGGGAAAACUGGUUCACACUUACUUACUACUGGGAUGAUCGCUGGUUUGACACCAGGAAGCAAGAUGAGCUGGAAUGGGGCAUCUGCUGGGAUGACUACCGCUGGUUUUCGUACAUUGCCAGAUUUAUUGGACCUUUGAAACCACAAGAAGAAAGGACAUUGCUAAAGCUACUGCGUGAUGAAAAAGUCAAUACCACGAUAAAAGAAGAGCUGGAAAAUCGGGACGUUUUGGAUUCCUUGUCUGAUGGUUUUUGGGACGAAUUUCAGACUAUCGACAGCAGCACGAUCGAUCUCGACUGGAUUUGUAAGUGGAAUAUUUGGACACAACGUUUCCUUUUGAAUUUUGCCGGUAUGCACAAAGAAGCAACUGGCAUCGAAACUUGAUCUGUAAUGCAGCUCAUAAUGUCUGGACUCAGAAUAUGAAGGUGGCGGAAAUAUAAUUCCAAUCUUCUCACACAAUGCAGUUCUUUUCGAAAUUGCAAAAUAUUUCUAAUACAGUGCUUUUUGUGCGAGCUGUAUCUAUGGGAAAAAUUAAAGCCGCAUUCCG